rnacentral:rRNA from 1 species
GACGAACGCUGGCGGCGUGCCUAACACAUGCAAGUAGAACGGUAAAGCUCGGUGCUUGCACCGAGCGGAUGAGUCGCGAACGGGUGAGUAACGUGUAGGUCCCCUGCCUCUUAGCGGGGGAUAACUAUUGGAAACGAUAGCUAAUACCGCAUAAAAGCCGCUAUCGCAUGAUAUUGAUUUGAAAGGUGCAAAUGCAUCACUAAGAGAUGGACCUGCGUUGUAUUAGCUAGUUGGUGAGGUAACGGCUCACCAAGGGGGCGAUAGGUAGCCGACCGGAUAGGGUGGGCGGCCGCCCUGGGAGGGUGACACGGCCCAGAGGCCUGCGGGAGGGAGCAGUAGGGCAUCGGGGGCAAUGGGGGCGAACCUGACCGAGCGGGGCCGAGUGAGUGAAGAAGGUUUUCGGGUCGGAAAGAUCGGUUGUAGGAGGAGAACGAGUGUGAGAGUGGGAAGAUCACACUGUGACGGUAACUGACCAAGAAGCAACGGCUAACUACGUG